rnacentral:rRNA from 1 species
CUACGGGCGGCUGCCGUGGGGAAUAUUGCACAAUGGGCGCAAGCCUGAUGCAGCCAUGCCGCGUGUGUGAAGAAGGCCUUCGGGUUGUAAAGCACUUUCAGCGGGGAGGAAGGCGGUGAGGUUAAUAACCUCAUCGAUUGACGUUACCCGCAGAAGAAGCACCGGCUAACUCCGUGCCAGCAGCCGCGGUAAUACGGAGGGUGCAAGCGUUAAUCGGAAUUACUGGGCGUAAAGCGCGCGCAGGCGGUCUGUCAAGUCGGAUGUGAAAUCCCCGGGCUCAACCUGGGAACUGCAUUCGAAACUGGCAGGCUAGAGGCUUGUAGAGGGGGGUAGAAUUCCAGGUGUAGCGGUGAAAUGCGUAGAGAUCUGGAGGAAUACCGGUGGCGAAGGCGGCCCCCUGGGCAAAGACUGACGCUCAGGUGCGAAAGCGUGGGGAGCAAACAGGAUUAGAACCCCGGUAGUC